rnacentral:rRNA from 1 species
UACGUAGGGGGCGAGCGUUGUCCGAAGUUACUGGGCGUAAAGCGCGCGUAGGCGGCCUCUUAAGUCCGGGGUGAAAGGUUCAGCGCUCAACGCGAACAGUGCCUUGGAUACUGGGGGGCUCGGGUCCGGGAGGGGGAAGCGGAAUUCCAGGUGUAGCGGUGAAAUGCGUAGAUAUCUGGAGGAACACCGGUGGCGAAGGCGGCUUCCUGGCCUAGGACCGACGCUGAGGCGCGAAAGCGUGGGGAGCGAACAGG